ACGAACGCUGGCGGCGUGCCUAAUACAUGCAAGUCGAGCGAACAGAUAAGGAGCUUGCUCCUUUGAAGUUAGCGGCGGACGGGUGAGUAACACGUGGGUAACCUACCUAUAAGACUGGGAUAACUUCGGGAAACCGGAGCUAAUACCGGAUAAUAUUUAGAACCGCAUGGUUCUAAAGUGAAAGAUGGUUUUGCUAUCACUUAUAGAUGGACCCGCGCCGUAUUAGCUAGUUGGUAAGGUAACGGCUUACCAAGGCGACGAUACGUAGCCGACCUGAGAGGGUGAUCGGCCACACUGGAACUGAGACACGGUCCAGACUCCUACGGGAGGCAGCAGUAGGGAAUCUUCCGCAAUGGGCGAAAGCCUGACGGAGCAACGCCGCGUGAGUGAUGAAGGGUUUCGGCUCGUAAAACUCUGUUAUUAGGGAAGAACAAAUGUGUAAGUAACUGUGCACAUCUUGACGGUACCUAAUCAGAAAGCCACGGCUAACUACGUGCCAGCAGCCGCGGUAAUACGUAGGUGGCAA
rnacentral:rRNA from 1 species